GAUGAACGCUAGCGGCAGGCUUAACACAUGCAAGUCGAGGGGUAUAGGUUUUCGGACCUAGAGACCGGCGCACGGGUGCGUAACGCGUAUGCAAUCUACCUUUUACAGAGGGAUAGCACAGAGAAAUUUGGAUUAAUACCUCAUAGUAUUAUUGAAUGGCAUCAUUUAAUAAUCAAAGUUCCAACGGUAAAAGAUGAGCAUGGGUCCCAUAAGCCAGAGGGCAAGGUAAGGGCUUACCAUGGCGACGAUGGGUAGGGGUCCUGAGAGGGAGAUCCCCCACACUGGUACUGAGACACGGACCAGACUCCUACGGGAGGCAGCAGUGAGGAAUAUUGGUCAAUGGGCGCAAGCCUGAACCAGCCAUGCCGCGUGCAGGAUGACGGUCCUAUGGAUUGUAAACUGCUUUUGUACAGGAAGAAACACUGGUUCGUGAACCAGCUUGACGGUACUGUAAGAAUAAGGAUCGGCUAACUCCGUGCCAGCAGCCGCCGUAAAAC
rnacentral:rRNA from 1 species